rnacentral:lncRNA from 1 species
AUGCAAAUGCUUAUAUUCAUAAAUAUUUCUCUCUCUCUCUCUCUCUCUCUCCCCCUCCCUCUCUCUCUCUCUCUCACACACACACACACACCUCAACACAAAAAUACACUCAUUUCCUUAUUUUUAAACUUAGAACCUGCUGAGAAGAAAAUGGACCCUGGAAAUCACUCCUCAGUGACUGAGUUCAUCCUCGCUGGGCUCACAGAGAAACCAGAGCUCCAGAUUCCCCUUCUGGUCUUCUUCCUAGGAAUCUACUCAGUCACAGUGGUGGGGAACCUGGGCAUGAUCACACUGAUAGGGCUCAGUUCUCACCUGCACACCCCCAUGUACUAUUUCCUCACCAAUUUGUCCUUUAUUGAUUUCUGUCAUUCCACUGUCGUUACCCCCAAAAUGCUGGUGAACUUUGUGACAGAGAAGAAUAUCAUCUCCUACCUGGAGUGUAUGACUCAGCUCUAUUUCUUUAUUGUUUUUAUUAUUGCAGAAUGUUAUAUGUUGGCUGUAAUGGCAUAUGACCGCUAUGUUGCCAUCUGUAACCCUUUGCUUUACAAUGUCAUCAUGUCUUAUUAUAGGUGCUUCCAGCUCACAGUGACAGUUUAUAUUUUGUGCAUCAUUGAAUCUGCAGUCCAUACAGGCUUUAUGAUUAGACUCUGUUUCUGCAAGGCCAAUGUGAUUAACCAUUAUUUUUGUGAUCUCUUGCCACUCUUGGAGCUAUCCUGUUCUAGCAUCUCCAUGAAUGAAUUAUUGGCUCUAGUCUUUAGUGCUUUUAAUAUCCUGAUUCCUGUUUUAACCAUCCUUGCUUCCUACAUCUUCAUCCUCUCUAGCAUCCUUCAAAUCCACUCCACUGAAGGCAGGUCCAAAGCCUUCAGCACCUGCAGCUCCCAUAUCUCAGCUGUUGCUGUUUUCUAUGGAUCUGUAGCAUUUAUGUACCUGCAGCCAUCAUCAGUCAGCUCCAUGGACCAAGGGAAAGUGUCCUCUGUGUUUUAUACCUGCAUUGUACCCAUGCUAAACCCUCUCAUCUACAGUCUGCGGAAUAAGGAUGUCAAAUUUGCUCUGAAGAAAAUUCUGGACAGCGGAAAAUGUAGAUGA